UAGAGUUUGAUCAUGGCUCAGAUUGAACGCUGGCGGCAGGCCUAACACAUGCAAGUCGAGCGGUAACAUGUCUAGCUUGCUAGAUGAUGACGAGCGGCGGACGGGUGUGUAAUGCUUGGGGAUCUGCCUUAGAGUGGAGGAUAACCAUUGGAAACGAUGGCUAAUACUGCAUAGUUUCUGCGGAUUAAAGGGGGCUUAGGCUCUUGCUUUAAGAUGAACCCAAGUGGGAUUAGCUAGUUGGUGAGGUAAUGGCUCACCAAGGCGACGAUCCCUAGCUGGUCUGAGAGGAUGAUCAGCCACACUGGAACUGAGACACGGUCCAGACUCCUACGGGAGGCAGCAGUGGGGAAUAUUGCACAAUGGGCGAAAGCCUGAUGCAGCCAUGCCGCGUGUGUGAAGAAGGCCCUAGGGUUGUAAAGCACUUUCAGUCAGGAGGAAAGGUUAGUAGUUAAUACCUGCUAGCUGUGACGUUACUGACAGAAGAAGCACCGGCUAACUUCGUGCCAGCAGCCGCGGUAAUACGAGGGGUGCAAGCGUUAAUCGGAAUUACUGGGCGUAAAGCGAGCGUAGGCGGCAGAAUAAGCUGGAUGUGAAAAACCGGGGCUCAACCUCGGCCGUGCAUUCAGAACUGUUUAGCUAGAGUCCUGUAGAGGGGGGUAGAAUUUCA
rnacentral:rRNA from 1 species